rnacentral:piRNA from 1 species
UCGCAUUUUUUGUUCAGUUAA